rnacentral:rRNA from 1 species
UACGGAGGAUGCAAGCGUUAUCCGGAAUUAUUAGGCGUAAAGCGUCCGCAGGUGGUUUAUCAAGUCUGCUGUCAAAGCGCGAGGCUUAACUUCGUAAAGGCAGUGGAAACUGAUAGACUGGAGUGCGGUAGGGGCAGAGGGAAUUCCCAGUGUAGCGGUGAAAUGCGUAGAUAUUGGGAGGAACACCUGUGGCGAAAGCGGCGCACUGGACCACAUCUGACGCUGAGGCGCGAAAGCUAGGGGAGCAAACAGG